UUCCCUACUUAGCUAUGGAAACCAACUGGGUGAUCACACUUUCCCAGUCUUAAAAGAAGUUAAUGGCUAACCUAUACUCAGGAAAUCUUGCCAAGAAACUUCCAUGGCAGGUUCACCUCAGAGUCACCAUAAAUCAGAAAUAACUUAGAGGCACAUAUGAUCAUCAACAAGAACAAAAAAAGAUGCAAGAAGUCUGGUGACCACUGCUCAUUCCUGUCAGUCAUGCUGCAUUUGAGACUUGAAAUAGUUAUCCACUUACAGAUUGUUUAUCUGAGGGCUGAGUCUAAUGAGGAAACAGCAAAGACCUGUUGAGACACAGAAAGAAGCAGAGCAAUGCAGCUAGAAUAAAUUAUUUUCAGCCAUGAA